AAAUAUGCUUUAUAGAUAGCACAGGUUCAGGAGAAAGGGUUUCCCCCCUAUGCAAUUAUUGAUGAUACGGGUGUGGAUUUUAAGAUCAAGCUGCUCACUGUUGGUGGGAAGAAGUUGAAGCUUACAAUUUGGGAUACCGCUGGACAAGAGAGGUUCGGGA